rnacentral:lncRNA from 1 species
CACCCAAGUAUCCAUCAUAAGCCUAAUAAGCAAAUUAGUUCAUAACGAAUGAAAUAACAACUGAAUAAUCUAAAGAAAACAUCCUUGCAAUUACAAAUAAAAGACUAAAGAGAAGAAUAGUGAUUAACGCCCUUCACGUAGCCUAGAAUUGCAAUCGUCACAAAAAUCUCUUCAAAAUACUCCUCCUAUGCUUCUGUCAAAUUCUGGAAAAUAAUCUCUG